ensembl:lncRNA
AGAAAACAGGACAUGUGUGGAAGCAGACAGCACAGAGUUGCGCCUGUCUUGUAGGACAGGGAAGCACACUCAGUGCAGGACCUGGGGGGGGGCGGGGCUCCAGUCCCACCCACCUUGAUUCCUGAGCCUCUGCCCCUCUUUCUAGCCCACGCCUCUUAUUCAUUGUUUGGGAGAAGUUGUUUGCCGGAGAUGUUAGAUUCACAGCACUUGCAGACUGGGGGUUUCUGAGAAAGGGAGAUGGAGGCUGGGGUGGUAAGGAAAAGUGCCCCUGAUUCUCAGCGCCGGGAAGGGCUGGGCUCUGCCGGCUGACUUACCUGGUGUAAGCAAAAACACUCUGUGGUGCCUUCUUGAACAGCGUCAUGAAAUCAAGACCUGAUGAAUUAGGAUAACCUCUGACUUUUUGUGAGCUGCUUACUGCUUAAUCUCAAGUCUCCUUCUCUCUGAUGAUGACAAGCGUGAUAUCAGUGUAACUCCAGAAACACCUGGAUAUUUCCCACCUGUUCAGUUCUUUUCCAUUUGGUUUCAGAUCAAGUCUUGGUGCCAGAUAUUGUGAGGCUGUGUCUAUUACGGAGCAAAUCCAGACAAAC